rnacentral:rRNA from 1 species
AUGGCCGAACGGAUACUUCUGCCAGUUUUGCUUAAGGAACUUAGAAUCCUCCAUGCAUUUGUUUUGGAAGUGUGGCUCGACCCAGACUGCGUGGAACAAGAACAGCCGUCUGGCAAACACAUGGGAUCAGUGGUGGAGCUUAGUAGAAAUUGUUGGGUCCCAAGAGUUUUGUCCAAGGGUGCAGCGGCCCCCCUCAGCCUCAACAUAGCUCCGCCGGUGCAUGGGACUCAAAGUCAAAAUCAGAAGACAUUGUCGCCACAAUCAUCAGCAAAGCCCGACCAGUUUCAGGAAGGCAACCUGAUCGCUCACCAUGAUCAUCCUAUGGAGAAUUUGGAUGGAAAGAAACGAGUGCUCCUUCAGAGCCAAGGUGGCGUCAACUAA